UACAGAGGUCUCAAAGCGUUUGUUCGGGAUUCAUUGGGCGUAAAGGGUGUGUAGGUGGCGCCGUAAGUCGGGUGUGAAAUUUCGGAGCUUAACUCCGAAACUGCAUUCGAUACUGCGGUGCUUGAGGACUGGAGAGGAGACUGGAAUUCAUGGUGUAGCAGUGAAAUGCGUAGAGAUCAUGAGGAAGACCAGUGGCGAAGGCGGGUCUCUGGACAGUUCCUGACACUGAGACACGAAGGCCAGGGGAGCAAACGGG
rnacentral:rRNA from 1 species